UACGUAGGCAGCGAGCGUUGUUCGGAGUUACUGGGCGUAAAGGGUGUGUAGGCGGUUGUUUAAGUUUGGUGUGAAAUCUCCCGGCUCAACUGGGAGGGUGCGCCGAAUACUGAAUGACUAGAGUGCGGGAGAGGAAGUGGAAUUCCUGGUGUAGCGGUGAAAUGCGUAGAGAUUGGGAAGAACACCAGCGGCGAAAGCGUGCUACUGGGUCUGCACUGACACUGAGGGGACGAAAGCUAGGGGAGCGAAAGGG
rnacentral:rRNA from 1 species